rnacentral:snoRNA from 1 species
GCGAUGGCAGUGACGACCUGGUAAUAUUCAAGCUCAACAGACCAAAUCACAGGUCUUUCUCUCUGGAUCUACUCCUCAGGGAUUGAUUUGUAUGCCGAUUUUUCCGCUGAACCGAGCCAUCUGAUUUUGCUCUU